AGGCCUGUAGCUCAGUGGUAGAGCAGGAGCCUUUUAAGCUCUGUGUCGCGGGUUCGAUCCCCGCCAGGCCUA
rnacentral:tRNA from 1 species